GUGCCAGCCGCCUCGGUCCUCCGUCUUUGGCGAGCGUUGUCCGGAAUUACUGGGCGUAAAGGGUGCGUAGGCGGCCUGAUAAGUCAGGUGUGAAAUACCAGGGCUCAACCCUGGGGGUGCACUUGAAACUGUCGGGCUUGAGUGCAGGAGAGGAAAGCGGAAUUCAUAGUGUAGCGGUGAAAUGCGUAGAUAUUAGGAGGAACACCAGUGGCGAAGGCGGCUUUCUGGACUGUAACUGACGCUGAGGCACGAAAGCGUGGGUAGCGAACAGGAUUAGAUACCCUGGUAGUCCACGCCGUAAACGAUGGAUACUAGGUGUAGGGAGGUAUUAACCUUUCUGUGCCGUAGUUAACGCAAUAAGUAUCCCGCCUGGGGAGUACGUGCGCAAGCAUGAAACUUAAAUAAAUUGACGG
rnacentral:rRNA from 1 species